rnacentral:lncRNA from 1 species
GUGGAAUGAAGAAUAGGGAUAGUUUUGAGUGUGAAGCCAAGGUACAUAAAGGAAAGUGUCCAAGAAGACUCCUCCUGGAAAGAACAUUCAAGAAAUUUUCACCAACUAACUCAAUAACUAUACUUUCCCAACUUAAAAGUUGUUUUGUACUAAAGUCUGCGGUGGGACUCCUCUUCUUCUCCUGCACAAGCUCAAGUGUCUACUAUAGUUCAUGGCACCCCAGACGUUGGUUCUGGUCCUGGCCCUGGCCCAAUGCUACUCUGGAUGCAAAGCAGCCAUUGUGAAGAACAAUGAUGAUGGUACCUCAGAUCAUCCCUACAGCCAUGCUCUCUCUGUGACUGAAAUGGACUGCUAUUCCCACAAAGUGACAGCUGCCAUGAACAAGAAGAAAAUCGUCAAGAGGUCAAAGAUCAAUGUUUUGUGAAAGUUUAUAACUACAAUCACCUCAUGCCCACAGGGUACUCUGUGGACAUCUCCUUAGACAAAACUGUUAUCAUCAAAGGUAUCUUCAGAGACCCAACUUUAUACAUGCUACUUGUCAGUGUUUAUUCAGGAAUCUCUUUGUAGCUAUUGUGAAGGAUUUGCCCAGCAUUAAAACUGAGUAAAGAUAAAUAAGCAUUGCUUUGUAAGUUCAUUACAACCUAAAUUAAAAAUGAAUACAACGGGGAGUGCAUUGUUAGUUUCUUUUAUUAUAAAACCUGAGAAGGAAGGGGAUAAUGUUGUUCACCUGUGUUCCAUUUAUCUGCAGUUCUGCGACCAGGCACUCACAAGGAAAGAGAAGGCAAAUGGCCCCAUCUAAUAUUUUUGUAAGCAUGAGAACUGGACUUCAAGGUGAACAGUAUUUGCUAGGGGGGAGUAUUUAUCUUGGUAAUGCUGUUAAUAGUAUAUUACUAGUUUAUGAUCAUUUCGUGUGAACACCCCUGCAAUCUAUGGAUUUAUGCCUAACUCCACAUCAAAUGUCAGGUAAGUAGUCAAGUCUCUGUGGUAAAAAAAAAAAAAAAAAGUAAAAAAGGAGAGGUUUCAUAGCAUGAAUGCUCCCUGCUGUAUGAGGUGAUGUAGGACCUCAUUUAGGACCUGAUGAACCUACCGUUCUGUACCAGGGAACAAUAAGUGAAGUGUAGAACAGAAUGGGACAUUUAAGAUAUGCCAGACAUCUCUGCUUUACCUAUGCUUACUUUUUAAAAGUUUGAAAUUAUUAGUAAAAUGUAACUUGGGCAAGAUUGCUGAUUCCUGUGGGUUGGAUCUGGCAAAUCAGUCUUUAUCUAGUUUUAGCUCAAUACACAC